CUAGCACUUACUCACUCAGUCUCCACUUUUUGCCUUGGGCUGCGUUCAAUCCUCCCUUCAAUUCGGUUGUUUAUCUCCUUUCUUCUCUCAACAGACUCUCUCUCCUCUCUCUAAUGGCGUCGGUUCAAGCAACGAGUUUGACCUCAGCUGUCUGCAGCAAAAAUGGAAGCUCCUUCUUGCCAGGGUUCGAUGUAGUAUUCAGCAAGAAGGAUUUGCUAUUACCUCCUCGUUCUUUAUCAUCGUCGUCAUCAGUCCCUAGAGCCACUUUAACAUUUGAUCCUCCAACUGAUAAUAGUUAUAAAAUCAAGCAGAAGAAACAAACACCUCAUACUCUUGAUCCUUCCUCUCCUGAUUUCCUUCCUCUUCCCUCUUUCGAGCAGUGCUUCCCUAAAAGCACUAAAGAAUUCAGUGAGGUUGUUCACGAAGAAUCAGGUCAUGUUCUCAAAGUUCCUUUUAGAAGGGUCCAUUUGUCUGGAGAUGAGCCUAGCUUUGAUAAUUAUGAUACCAGUGGUCCUCAAAACAUCAGUCCCCGUAUUGGACUUCCAAAACUGCGCAAAGACUGGGUUGACAGGCGGGAGAAGCUAGGUGCACCAAGAUAUACUCAGAUGUAUUAUGCAAAGCAGGGAAUAAUAACUGAGGAAAUGUUGUACUGUGCUGCUCGUGAGAAGCUUGACCCAGAGUUCGUGAGGUCUGAGGUUGCUCGUGGGCGGGCAAUCAUCCCUUCAAACAAGAAUCACCUAGAGUUAGAGCCUAUGAUAGUUGGAAGAAAUUUUCUGGUCAAAGUCAAUGCAAAUAUUGGGAAUUCUGCUGUUGCAAGCUCUAUUGAGGAAGAAGUUUACAAGGUUCAAUGGGCAACCAUGUGGGGCGCUGACACUGUUAUGGACCUUUCGACAGGUCGCCACAUUCAUGAGACCCGUGAAUGGAUCUUACGAAACUCUGCUGUACCAGUAGGGACUGUGCCCAUUUAUCAAGCACUAGAAAAAGUCAAUGGAAUUGCUGAAAAUCUUAGCUGGGAGGUCUUUAGGGAGACAUUGAUUGAACAAGCUGAGCAGGGUGUAGAUUAUUUUACAAUCCAUGCUGGGGUUCUUCUGAGAUACAUCCCUUUGACUGCAAAGCGCAUGACAGGAAUUGUUUCUCGUGGCGGGUCAAUUCAUGCAAAGUGGUGCUUGGCUUACCACAAGGAGAAUUUUGCUUAUGACCACUGGGAUGACAUACUUGACAUCUGUAAUCAAUAUGAUGUUGCCCUGUCAAUUGGUGAUGGGCUGAGACCUGGUUCCAUAUAUGAUGCCAAUGACUCUGCUCAAUUUGCAGAGCUCUUGACUCAAGGGGAACUGACCCGUAGAGCAUGGGAAAAGGAUGUACAGGUGAUGAAUGAGGGACCUGGUCAUAUUCCACUGCACAAAAUCCCUGAGAACAUGCAAAAACAGCUAGAAUGGUGCAAUGAAGCACCUUUCUACACUCUUGGACCUUUGACAACUGAUGUUGCUCCUGGUUAUGAUCAUAUUACUUCUGCCAUUGGUGCAGCCAAUAUUGGGGCUCUCGGCACUGCACUUCUCUGCUAUGUGACACCAAAGGAGCAUCUUGGGUUGCCAAACAGGGAUGAUGUGAAGGCUGGAGUUAUAGCAUAUAAGAUAGCGGCACAUGCUGCUGAUUUGGCCAAAGGUCAUCCUCAUGCUCAAGCCUGGGAUGAUGCAUUAAGCAAGGCCAGAUUUGAGUUCAGAUGGAUGGAUCAGUUUGCUUUAUCCUUGGACCCCAUGACUGCAAUGUCCUUCCACGAUGAAACCCUGCCUGCAGAGGGUGCAAAAGUAGCACAUUUUUGCUCGAUGUGUGGUCCAAAAUUCUGCUCUAUGAAGAUAACAGAGGAUGUGCGGAAGUAUGCAGAGGAGCAUGGUUAUGGUAGUGCAGAGGAAGCUGUCCAGAGUGGAAUGGAUGCCAUGAGUGCUGAGUUCCUGGCUGCUAAGAAAACAAUUAGUGGAGAACAACAUGGUGAAGUCGGUGGAGAAAUCUAUCUGCCAGAAAGUUAUGUUAAAUCCUCUGAGAGGAGCAUAUGAUUACAGGCAUUUGGUUAAAAAAUCUUAGAACCCUGAUGCAUGGCUGGUUUGUGAAGACAAGGGAUAUGCAUCUUUACUUUCAAGAUAUAGAACUGGCCAUUUGGUCAGAGGGUUGAGCAGGUCAGGCUGAGAAAGUCCCUUUGAACCUGAACAGGAUAAUGCCUGCGUAGGGAGUGUGCAUUUUCUUUUCCAUUUUUUCUGUUCUUGCACAGGGUGGCAGCUUCCUAUGGCUCGGGCUAGCUGAACCAUGCCUUGCCUUGCCCAAAGCUUAAUUGGCCAUCAUACCAGGCUUAUCAUGUCAGUGGCUGCAAUGUAACCUAUGGCAGGCAGGUUCUGCAUUCAUUCAAUAUUUUAAAAAGUAAAGAAGCAAAUCAGCCAAUUCAUACUUGAUCGGCCAUUUAUUGGGUUUCUGUCAAUCUAUGGUGAGAUCAUUUGAAGCAAUUUUAACUUGCAUUCCACAAAAUGUGGCGUCUUAUUUGAUAACAAAUAGAAGUCAUAAACUUGAUCAUACUAAUAAAUACAAUAUAGAGCAGCAAGCAUCUAUUCAUUAUUUUCUGAUACAAGGCGCAGGUUUUUCUGGCUACAGCAAAAAACCAUAUAUACAGUAAUGAAAAAAGCCUAGCAAAAGCUUCUUGUUAUUAUUUAUUUGAAGUACUUGAAGAAUAGCCAGCUGCUGCUUCUGAAAGACAUGCUCUUAGUUUUGUAAUUGCUGAACUAAGUUGUGAAUUCUUUUAUCCUAUUUUCUAUUGCCCCAUUGAAGAGAAUUAAUCCCAGUCUAUAACCAAAUUUACAUAA